GGAGGAGUGUCAGAGCGGCUUAUUGGCCAGGUCUCGAAAACCUUGGGUCCGGAAACGGACACGCGAGUUCGAAUCUCGCCUCCUCCG
rfam:Candidatus Roizmanbacteria bacterium RIFCSPLOWO2_02_FTLL_43_10 rifcsplowo2_02_scaffold_1624, whole genome shotgun sequence.